CUGGGUGGAAAGUAAAUAUAUCCCAUAACGGGCGGUUGAGAGGUGGUUCCAAAAACAUAACCUUCUAGCUCUCCUACAAAAAGGAAACACAAAAGAAGAAGGAGCUGUGCCCAUUGACUGAUAGCACCUGGUAGCCUCUAAGGUAAAAUUGCUGGCUGCAGCUUCUUGAAGCUCUAGAUAUCUCUAUCCAGAUUGCCCUGGGCAUCAAUCAUCUUGUUCUCUGCCAUGAAGUCCCUCUUAUUCUGUUGCCUCUUUGGCACUUUCUUAGCUACAGGUGAGAAGACAUUGGGAGCAAUUCAAGAACCUUGACUCGGAUAGCAGGACUCCAGGCAGGUCUCGGAGGGUCCACAAAAGGGGCUCAUAAAAGUCAAGAUGGUGCCCACCAUCGUGUAACUGAAACUCCAGCUAUUUUUUUAAGAAAAUUGAAAUGUGUUAGAAUUUUUUU